rnacentral:rRNA from 1 species
AUUGAACGCUGGCGGCAUGCCUUGCACAUGCAAGUCGAACGGCAGCACGGGGCAACCUGGUGGCGAGUGGCGAACGGGUGAGUAAUGCAUCGGAACGUACCUUUCAGUGGGGGAUAACGUAGCGAAAGUUACGCUAAUACCGCAUAUUCUGUGAGCAGGAAAGCAGGGGAUCGCAAGACCUUGUGCUGAUUGAGCGGCCGAUGUCAGAUUAGCUAGUUGGUGAGGGAAAGGCUCACCAAGGCGACGAUCUGUAGCGGGUCUGAGAGGAUGAUCCGCCACACUGGAACUGAGACACGGUCCAGACUCCUACGGGAGGCAGCAGUGGGGAAUUUUGGACAAUGGGGGCAACCCUGAUCCAGCCAUGCCGCGUGAGUGAAGAAGGCCUUCGGGUUGUAAAGCUCUUUCGGCCGGGAAGAAAUCGCACGGGCUAAUACCCUGUGUGGAUGACGGUACCGGAAUAAGAAGCACCGGCUAACUACGUGCCAGCAGCCGCAGUAAUAC